GACUGGAUCUAUGCGACUUCAACGCCCAAACUUUGUCAGAACCGGAAGGUAGCAGCAAUACGGGAUGCUUGUGGUAGGCGUAGACUCCGGUCACCUUGA
rnacentral:SRP_RNA from 1 species